CAUAGAUAGACUCUUUGUCAUGGUUCGCCCUUGGAAGCUUUUGUACAUGGCCAUUGAUGGUGUGGCUCCUCGUGCUAAGAUGAACCAGCAGCGCUCUAGACGAUUCAGAGCUGCAAAAGAUGCUGCUGAUGCGG